GACGAACGCUGGCGGCGUGCUUAACACAUGCAAGUCGAACGGAAAGGCCCUGCUUUUGUGGGGUGCUCGAGUGGCGAACGGGUGAGUAACACUUGAGUAACCUGCCCUUGACUUUGGGAUAACUUCAGGAAACUGGGGCUAAUACCGGAUAGGAGCUCCUGCUUCAUGGUGGGGGUUGGAAAGUUUCGGCGGUUGGGGAUGGACUCGCGGCUUAUCAGCUUGUUGGUGGGGUAGUGGCUUACCAAGGCUUUGACGGGUAGACGGCCUGAGAGGGUGACCGGCAAAAUUGGGACUGAGAUACGGCACAGACUACUACGGGAGGCAGCAGUGGGGAAGAGUGCAAAAUGGGCGGAAGCAUGAUGCAGCAAAGCCGCGUGGGGGAUGACGGCAUUCGGGUUGUAAACCGCUUUCGCCUGUGACGAAGCGUGAGUGACGGUAAUGGGUAAAGAAGCACCGGCUAACUACGUG
rnacentral:rRNA from 1 species